GCCUUACGAAGUUCAUUUUAUUAAACGUUGGUCUUGUAAACCAAAAAAGGCCAAGCCCUAAGGCU
rnacentral:tRNA from 1 species